rnacentral:tRNA from 1 species
GCCCCCAUCGUCUAGAGGCCUAGGACACUUCCUUUUCACGGAAGCAACGGGGAUUCGAAUUCCCCUGGGGGUA